rnacentral:lncRNA from 1 species
GGAUGGAUCUUUGUGUUGCCAGGCAGGAAUGGGCUGCUUGGGGACCCAGUGAGCUCCGAGGGCCUUUCUGCUGCUUCCUGUACCCCUGUAUUUCGCUCAGCUCUCUGACUUGACUCAGCUCCAGGAGGAAUCUGCAUAGAUUAGACGAAAAAGUUAAAAGGAGUAUGAAUGAAAAAACUACGUGUACAAGAUGUCCAAGAUGAACAAAACUAUACAAUAAAG